rnacentral:rRNA from 1 species
AGAGUUUGAUCAUGGCUCAGAACGAACGCUGACGGCGUGCCUAAUACAUGCAAGUCGCACGUGAAAGUCCUUCGGGGUGAGUAAAGUGGCGCACGGGUGAGUAACGCGUAGGUGACCUGCCUUAAUGUGGGGGAUAACUCCGGGAAACCGGAGCUAAUACCGCAUGUGAUGGAUGACCUUAGAAAAGUUCAUCAAAGAUGGCCUCUACUUGUAAGCUAUCGCAUUAAGAAGGGCCUGCGUUCCAUUAGCUAGUUGGUGGGGUAAUGGCCUACCAAGGCUACGAUGGAUAACUGGUCUGAGAGGAUGAUCAGUCACACUGGAACUGAGACACGGUCCAGACUCCUACGGGAGGCAGCAGUAGGGAAUAUUGCGCAAUGGGGGAAACCCUGACGCAGCAACGCCGUGUGAGGGAGGAAGGUCUUCGGAUUGUAAACCUCUGUCGAUAGGGAAAAAUGGUAGGUGUUCGAACAGGGCAUCUAUUUGAUGGUACCUAUGAAGGAAGCACCGGCUAACUUCGUGCCAGCAGCCGCGGUAAUACGAAGGGUGCAAGCGUUGUUCGGAUUUAUUGGGCGUAAAGCGCGCGCAGGCGGGAUUGUGUGUCAGAUGUGAAAUCUCGGAGCUCAACUCCGAACGUGCGUCUGAAACUGCAGUUCUAGAAUGCUGGAGGGGGAAGGGGAAUUUCACGUGUAGGGGUAAAAUCCGUAGAGAUGUGAAGGAACACCGGAGGCGAAGGCGCCUUCCUGGCCAGUUAUUGACGCUGAGGCGCGAAAGCGUGGGGAUCAAACAGGAUUAGAUACCCUGGUAGUCCACGCUGUAAACGAUGAGCACUCGUUAUUGUGGGUUUAACCCCUGCAGUAACAAAGCUAACGCAUUAAGUGCUCCGCCUGGGGAGUACGGUCGCAAGAUUAAAACUCAAAGGAAUUGACGGGGGCCCGCACAAGCGGUGGAUUAUGUGGUUUAAUUCGAAGCGACGCGCAAAACCUUACCUGGGCUUGAACUCUCACGAACCUGGUAGAGGUAUCGGGGUGCCCGCAAGGGAAUGUGAUGAGAGGCGCUGCAUGGCUGUCGUCAGCUCGUGUUGUGAAAUGUUGGGUUAAGUCUCGCAACGAGCGCAACCCCUAUCCUUAGUUGCCAGCAUUAAGUUGGGCACUCUAGGGAGACUGCCUGGGUUAACCAGGAGGAAGGUGGGGAUGACGUCAAGUCCUCAUGGCCCUUAUGUCCAGGGCUACACACGUAAUACAAUGGCCGGUACAGAGGGAAGCGAACUCGCGAGGGGGAGCUAAUCUCAAAAAGCCGGUCUCAGUCCGGAUUGAAGUCUGCAACUCGACUUCAUGAAGUUGGAAUCGCUAGUAAUCGUGGAUCAGCAUGCCACGGUGAAUACGUUCCCGGGCCUUGUACACACCGCCCGUCACACCAUGGGAGUUGGUUCAACCUGAAGACGUGACCUUAACCGCAAGGGGAGGAGCGUCCACGGUGGGGCCGAUGACUGGGGUGAAGUCGUAACAAGGUAACC